rnacentral:pre_miRNA from 15 species
UUCCCCAGGGUCCUCCGGUUUCAAUUUGUGGGAUACACACGGUUCAGUUGUGUCACUUUUGCGAGCAUCACUGGGCUUUGUUUAUCUCAUAAGACUGAAAUUUGUUCAACUUUACAUUC